rnacentral:tRNA from 1 species
UCCUGGUUAGCUGGUUAGUUGGUAGAGCGCUCCACCAGAAAUGGAGAAGUCCCUGGUUCGAUACCAGGACCAGGCG